GACGAACGCUGGCGGCGUGCCUAAUACAUGCAAGUCGAACGAAGCUGUUUUAACUGGUGCUUGCACCGACUUAAACAACUGAGUGGCGAACGGGUGAGUAACACGUGGGUAACCUGCCCCAAAGCGGGGGAUAACAUUUGGAAACAGAUGCUAAUACCGCAUAACCACAGAAACCACAUGGUUACUGUGUCAAAGAUGGUUUCGGCUAUCACUUUGGGAUGGACCCGCGGCGUAUUAGCUAGUUGGUAAGGUAAUGGAUUACCAAGGCAAUGAUACGUAGCCGAACUGAGAGGUUGAUCGGCCACAUUGGGACUGAGACACGGCCCAAACUCCUACGGGAGGCAGCAGUAGGGAAUCUCCCACAAUGGACGAAAGUCUGAUGGAGCAACGCCGCGUGAGUGAAGAAGGUUUUCGGAUCGUAAAACUCUGUUGUCAGAGAAGAACGUGUGCGAGAGUAACUGUUCGUGCAGUGACGGUAUCUGGCCAGAAAGCCACGGCUAACUACGUGCCAGCCGCCGCCGUAA
rnacentral:rRNA from 1 species